GAGAGGAGAGGAGAGGAGGAGCACUGGCACAGCAGAGAUGAGAGGAGAGCAGGGGAAUGCUGUUCCAGCAGCCUCUGCACCAGGAAGUGGAAGGAAUGAUGCAGAGCCCACCGAGGGCACCCCAAGAGUCCGCCUGGAGACCUCCCCACUGGAGCUGAUUUCCAAAUCACCAAGACGAUGAUGACAGAGCAGCACAAUGGCUCAGGAGAGACUUGACCUCGGCCCUUGGAGAUGCCACUGAUGGCGGAUUGCUUUCUUAGAGCAGCGUAAGCUCACUGAUGUGUGUUACGAGGCCGUGUGGUGACCAGGCUUGUGGUCAGCGCGUUGUUUCCGGGCUCUGCAGUGCAGAACAAAGGCAGACCCACAGCUCUGGAUAAUGCAUUCAAGGUGGUUGCUUGCUGAUUUGGGGAAAUGUGUUUUGCACAUGUGCAGAAGAGACGAACAUGCUACCACACGGCCAGGAGUCAUCAGAGGGAGGAGAUCUAAGGGAUGCCACAGCGCUGAGGAUGGUGUCGGGACAUUAUCUAAAACAACCCAUCCAACACAACUCAGUCCUAUUACAGAGCUAAGAGACCACAUCAAGCCAGGGCAAUCCUCUCGCUCGCAGUAGGAAAUUCUUCAACGCAGAACAUGAAAACUCCAUGAGCCAAAAGGAAUAUUUUUGGAGGAUGAUUUCUUUGGCGGAGGCCUCCAGCUUUUGAAGUCCCCGCGCCUGCCUGGAUUAUGUGAUAAUUGCUAUUUACAGACCCAUUUUAAAGGCUAUAGAAUCAUUUCUCAAAUUGUCGUGCCGCUGGUGGUAGACUGAGUUUUUGAAGGCAUGACGAUCUUGAAAAAGCAAGAAAUUGGGAAAUGUGGAGACACAGCAAAAAGGUUUGAGAGAAUUCUGAAGGGGAAUGUACAAGCCAAUAGUUUCCACAAAGACAAAAUAGCCAUUUUGAAAUACCACUGACAUGGAGAUGGCUAACCAGCAUAAAAGCACAUUUGCAUGAUGACUUGUCGUGCUUGUUCGUCUUUUAGCAAUGCAAUCAUCUGCAAGUAUUUGGGGGGAAACAUUGUAGCUCGA